GACAGAGGGUGCAAACGUUGUUCGGAAUUACUGGGCGUAAAGCGCGUGUAGGCGGCUAAGUAAGUCGGGCGUGAAAUCCCACGGCUCAACCGUGGAAGUGCACUCGAAACUGCGUAGCUAGAGUCCUGGAGAGGAAGGUGGAAUGCUUGGUGUAGAGGUGAAAUUCGUAGAUAUCAAGCGGAACACCGGUGGCGAAGGCGGCCUUCUGGGACAGUGACUGACGCUGAGACGCGAAAGCGUGGGGAGCAAACAGGG
rnacentral:rRNA from 1 species